AGACCUACAAAAUGUGCAGAGCAGGGAGUCGUGAGGACUGGAAUUGAGAACCGCUGUCCCAAUUCUACUUCAUCAGAGGAGACCUGAUUCAAACCUGAAAGAAACAGUGUCUCUACUCAAUAAUAAACAAGAGGUCAUGGUGAUGGGAAACCACAGCAAUUCAGUUCAUGCCCCUUUUCCAGGAUUUGUACGUAGGACCUCAGGUUACCAUCCCUGGGGCCUGAAGAAGUGUUCACAUUGACAUCAAUCUGCAGUGACAAAGCGACCAGAACUCAUUCAUUUUCAAUGAGACCAGAUGAUUUCCAGCAGUGCAGGCGUCAGUGACAGGACUUGACUGUGUCCAACAACACAACAAAGUAGAUAGAAGAUUAACUUUAUGUGCAGUUACUCAAUGCAAUGAAUACUAACAGGAAUGUAGACAGUGGCGUUCCAGUGAUCCAUCUCUUGUGAGACACCAGUCAAGUGUCAGCAAGAUGGAGAAGAUAAUGUUGCUGUGAGUGAUUUUACCGUCCAUGAUUUAUUUCUUACCACAUCAACAAUAUAAUAACACCAUGGAAAACCGAGUCUGAGAUUGUUGGCAUUCUAAAAAAGUUUGAUUCAUGCAAUCUUGUUCAUGAUAUGAUGUACUAUGCAGCACUGCAAUUUUUCUGGAGCUUUUCUACAAAUGCUUUCUUCUGCAAAAUGUAAAAUUUUUUUGAGGCAACAAAACUGAUUCACUGUCAAAAUGGAAUGAAACGUUCUUUUUUUCUUCUGUUAAUACAAUUCAUUUGAAAUCAGAUUUGGGUGGUUAUGCAACCUACCAAUAAUGUCAGAGCAUCCAGCACAGUAACCUUGUGAAAUUGCUGUCAGUGUGAACGAGACAUCAUGUAUAAAUGAUAUAGAAGAGGUGACUGAUUCACUGAAUUGGACUCACAACCAAUAAUGUCCUUGUUUUUCAUGGUCUGAGCAGCACAGAAGGUGGAUCAGCCUACAAAACUGGGCAGCUAAAUCGAUCAACAGGCCCACACAGAAUCUGUGCCGACUGCACUCAGCGGAGAGCUCAGCAGAUUUAUGAAAAACAACCGACACUAAGUUCUACAUAUUAUCCACCAUUGCAUGUUCACCCCACAGAUUUUGCACAAAAAUAUCACUUCUGUGAAAUGUGGAGAUGAAGUCCAUAGAUUCAGUCUGGGCCUGCUGAUCAUUCUUUUAUGUGCAACAGCAUCAUGACCUCAGCACAGGAGAUAAUGUCCCUCUCAAACUUCACUCCAUCUUAGUGAGCAAUUACUGUUAA